AGGACUUAGCUGGCUCUGUGAACAGGUCUUGUGUGUCAAUGUUCACAGUGGCUAAGUUCCAC
rnacentral:pre_miRNA from 1 species